rnacentral:tRNA from 1 species
GAUCCUAUAGCUCAGCGGUAGAGCGUGUGAUUCCAGUCCACAAGGUCUUCCGUUCAAUCCGGGAUAGGAUCA